GCCCCCAUUUCAUCUCUCUACUCUCUUUCUCUUUUCUCUCAGACCCGUUCCUCUCAAAAAUGAAAAGAGGGGUCCGUCUCUCUCUCAAUUUCCUCUCAGACCCCAUCCAUGGUGGAGCGACACAGGCAUGUCUGAUUCCUCUAUAAUAGUGCUCUGGUUCGCAACAAUGAUACCCAAACGGGCAUAUCUAAAAUAGUUCGUCCAAAAAUCCUCCCUCUGCAGUUUCCUCGCAGAUUGAUGCAUCCGUAGCCUUCCAUAACCCAACAACAACACAACUUCGUGAGUACCCCGCCGUGGUGGAAAAUCGGAAAAACGGAAACCCAAAGGUAAAAUCAUCCUCCAAUCUUGUGGUUUCAUUGUCCAAUUUAUUUGUUUGAAAGAACGGGAACAAACCCUAACACAUGCAUGUGGUUUUAUCGGUGUGAGGACCCCUAAUGGUUUCAAAUCCGAGACAACAACACAAGAACACACCCUGAGUCGCCAGCUCAGCUCAACCAAGGAUCUGCAAAUGUUGAGCGUAUAACCGAGAGAAAACAAGCUUAAGCUGCCGGUCUAAUGGUCCCAGAACGCAAAAUAAACGGCAAAUGUCUCGGCCGCUGCAAAUCAUGAAGGGGUAUAUGGAUCCAUGAUAGAGCCAAGGAAAUAGAAGUAAACACACAAGCUCAACCGAUGAAAACAACACAGGCCGCAUGACCCAAAUCGGUGCAUCUGGGAGGUCCCAGAAUUUAAAGAUUAUAGAAAAAUUCCCUGCAAAGGAGGAACUCUCUGCAAAGUUCGCUCCCUGCGUUUCCUCCUUAAAUUCUGCUCAAGUUCUGGAUCAAAUGGAAUCAAUUUCUGAACUGUUGAACGGGUGCUGACCAUGCAUAGAUUUAUGAAAUAUGCACUGUUGUACUAUUGUAAUCUGUAAAAAUAAAAUAAAAACGAAAAUUAAAUUAAUUUUUUUUAUAUGUAUAAACAGCAAUAACUAAUUGA